rnacentral:tRNA from 1 species
GCGCCCAUAGCUCAGUGGAAAGAGCGCCGGACUACGAAUCCGUAGGUCGCAGGUUCAAAUCCUGCUGGGCGCACCA